rnacentral:rRNA from 1 species
GACGAACGCUGGCGGCGUGCUUAACACAUGCAAGUCGAACGGAAAGGCCCUGCUUUUGUGGGGUGCUCGAGUGGCGAACGGGUGAGUAACACGUGAGUAACCUGCCCUUGACUUUGGGAUAACUUCAGGAAACUGGGGCUAAUACCGGAUAGGAGCUCCUGCUGCAUGGUGGGGGUUGGAAAGUUUCGGCGGUUGGGGAUGGACUCGCGGCUUAUCAGCUUGUUGGUGGGGUAGUGGCUUACCAAGGCUUUGACGGGCAGCCGGCCUGAGAGGGUGACCGGCCACAUUGGGACUGAGAUACGGCCCAGACUCCUACGGGAGGCAGCAGUGGGGAAUAUUGCACAAUGGGCGGAAGCCUGAUGUAGCAACGCCGCGUGCGAGAUGACGGCCUUCGGGUUGUAAACCGCUUUCGCCUGUGACGAAGCGUGAGUGACGGUAAUGGGUAAAGAAGCACCGGCUAACUACGUG